rnacentral:tRNA from 1 species
GGAAGAGUGGCAGAGUGGCCGAUUGCGUCUGUUUCGAAAACAGAUGUACCAGCGAUGGUACCGGGGGUUCAAAUCCCUCCUCUUCCGCAA